rfam:Aneurinibacillus migulanus strain DSM 2895 scaffold4, whole genome shotgun sequence.
UUCUUAUCGCGAGAAGGCUGAGGGACUGGCCCGAUGAAGCCCGGCAACCUGCUUUUACCGUAUACGACGGAAAGAAAGGUGCUAAUUCCUGCAGAAUGGUUAUUUCAUUCUGAAAGAUAAGAU